GAGAUUCAUGUGCGUCCACUUUGAGAAGAAGCAGGGUGGGAGGUCAUGAGAAAAAUAGUUUUCAAAUCAAGCCGGGAAUGAUUUCCACAAGGAAGUCCCUGAAAAACACACAUUCAGUGUCAUCCAAGAGCCCUUGCAGGUUUGAUGGCACCAGCAGGUUCCUCUUCAGAGACCUUUCAGCAAGUGACCCUGCAGCAACAGAAAGCUUCUUCCCACUGACGAGCAUCUUCUGGACUUGUCUGUGCAGAGACUGGGAUGAUAUAUGGUCG
rnacentral:lncRNA from 1 species